CUCAACUCGAUCUUUCUCAAAGAAAAAAAAUAAAUAAAUAAAAAAUAUAAAAAAUCAGCUCUCUGAAUCCAUCAGAGAUCCAAAAUGUAUAAAAUCCUAGGCUUGAAGAAUUGAAAUCUGAAGCUCUCAACUCUCAAACGGCUUCGCCCUCACCAGCCUAAACCCUAAACCGCACGAAACGAUGUCGUGGCUUCCAUCCGACGACUUCGCCAUGAAGCAAGACCACUUCUCCAGCGUCGCCGCCGUCGAGCACGUCCCUCUCAGCCACUUGGCCGACGGCAGGAUCGACUCCGCCUAGCUGUGGUCCUCCAAUCCCUCGCGUACCUCCCAUGCGCCGCCCAGCAUCGGCUACGUCCCUUACCAGCUCAUCCUCUGCCUCGGCUCCGAUGACUGCGCCACUGACUCCACUUUCACUGCCGACAUCGAUUGUCAAUCUCCGAAGCAUUUCGAUGGCCGGAUUUCCGGCAUUUACGGCUACGAAGAUAUGGUCACAUGAUAGACAAUGUUACCUGAUUGUUACUGGAACUUUGCACGAGAGAGAUGUUCAGGAACUAUUGGAAAAAUGCCACCUUUGGCCAUGUUUGACAGCAUUGCUAUCCUAGCAGUUUCACAGAAUAUGCAGGAGCUUUACAUCUUGCUUCUUACUUUUCUGAGUGCAUUACAUCAAAGGAUCUGGAUGACAGGAAUAUUGAAAUCAUGAGGAAUAAUCUUUACAAUGCAUACCUUGAAGACUUUUACAGGUUUUGUCAGAAUCUACGUGGUGCCAUAGCAGAGAUUAUGUCUGACUUGCUUUUGAGGCUGACAGAAGGGCUGAUCAUACAACUUUUGCUGCAGCCAAACAGCAUUGGAACAGAGCUUACUCGAGAUGAUCGCAAGAAAUUGUAUUCUAGCUUUGGUUUACUGUAGCUCAUGUUUUGAUUUAUUGGUGAUUGCUAUUUGUGAGGACAUUGAUCACUGUAUGGCGUGAGUUUCAAUUGGUGUUAAUACUUGCCUAAAACGUGUUGCAGCUCUUGGUCCACCUUCUCUGGAAGACCUCUUUCAGCAAUUACCAAUGAUGCACAAAGAAUUCAGUACUUUGUCAUGCAUGUUUUGUAAAGAAUAUAUGUAUCAGAUGAUAUGGUACUCUUAAUGAAAUGUAUAUUUUUCUUUUA